CCUAAUAAGUGCUCUUCUGAAAUGAGAAAGUAACCUUUACUUUGUUUCAACAUAAUUUAUUUAAAAAGAGAAAACAAUCAAAACUUAUUUGAUAUAUUGAUCAACAAUUAAAAAUCAACAAUGGUAGAAUUAACAUCAGACAAACCACACUCGUCUACAACUAAAACAACAAUACAAUAACACGUGUAAAUCCCAGCACUAUAACACAUCUAACUUCUUGAGAUUCCAGUCUUUCAGAUAUUAAUUAAAGAGUAUACAGAACCUACAUCAGUAUGACAUGAAUGCAACAUCUGUUUCCACCACUCUGGUGAUAUUACUUAUUUAAGAAAUUAAAAAGAAAAUCUUAAUUUUAUGUUUAUGUUUAUAUUUCUCUGAUAAUCCCUGCUUUUUCUAUUAUUUUGAAAAUUUAUACAUGUACAUGUAUAAGGAUAUUAAAUUGUUAUUCCCACUUUGGAAUGUCCCAGGUAUCCCAAGCAUAUUCCAUUUGGAAUUACUACAAAA
rnacentral:sRNA from 1 species